rnacentral:rRNA from 1 species
UCGUAACAAGGUUUCCGUAGGUGAACCUGCGGAAGGAUCAUUGUCAAAACUUGCAAAGUAGAAUGACCUGAGAAUUUGUACAAAACACGAAACUCCAGGGCCGGGUCCUUUUUAUGGGUCCGGCCGUGGCGAACAAAAACUCCGGCGUGGAAGCGCCAAGGAAUUUGAUAAAGAGAUUGCCAACUCGCAAGGCUUGUUUCUAGUGCUUGCGCGGUGGGCGUCUUCAACUGAAAAAGACUCUUGGCAAUGGAUAUCUCGGCUCUUGCAUCGAUGAAGAACGNAGCGAAAUGCGAUACUUGGUGUGAAUUGCAGAAUCCCGUGAACCAUCGAAUCUUUGAACGCAAGUCGCGCCUGCAGCCAAUUAGGCCGAGGGCACGUUUGCUUGGGUGUCAUGCAUCGUGUCGUCCCUCUCAAGUUUUUGAGCGGGAGCGGACCAUGGCCUCCCGGGCCCAUCCUCGGGCGUGGUUGGCCAAAACUCUUGUCCUNGAUAAUCGUUCGAUGUAUUGGCGUGUGGUGGAUGUGCUGCGUGUGCAUUGAGCCGCGCCUUUCACGGCUUGAUCGUGGCGGUUAGACCCUUUGGAGCUGGCAGCGCUGGUUCUUCGAUUGUGACCCCAAUUCAGGCGGGACCACCCGCUGAGU